rnacentral:rRNA from 1 species
UAGGGAAUCUUCCGCAAUGGACGCAAGUCUGACGGAGCACCGCCGCGUGAGUGAAGAAGGAUUUCGGUUCGUAAAACUCUGUUGUUAGAGAAGAACAGCGCAUAGAGUAACUGUUAUGCGUGUGACGGUAUCUAACCAGAAAGCCACGGCUAACUACGUGCCAGCAGCCGCGGUAAUACGUAGGUGGCAAGCGUUGUCCGGAUUUAUUGGGCGUAAAGCGAGCGCAGGCGGUCAAUUAAGUCUGAUGUGAAAGCCCCCGGCUCAACCGGGGAGGGUCAUUGGAAACUGGUUGACUUGAGUGCAGAAGAGGAGAGUGGAAUUCCAUGUGUAGCGGUGAAAUGCGUAGAUAUAUGGAGGAACACCAGUGGCGAAGGCGACUCGCUGGUCUGUAACUGACGCUGAGGCUCGAAAGCGUGGGUAGCAAACAGG